CCAAUAGCGUAUAUUAAAGUUGUUGCAGUUAAAAAGCUCGUAGUUGAAUUUCGGGAUUAGUACGCUGGUCGUGCCUUCGGUAUGUACUGGUGUUACUGGUUCCUACCUUCUGACGAACCGUCAUGUCAUUAAUUUGGUGUGGCGGGAAAUCAGGACUGUUACUUUGAAAAAAUUAGAGUGUUUAAAGCAGGCUCGCGCUUGAAUACAUUAGCAUGGAAUAAUGAAAUAGGACGUUCGAUCCUAUUUUGUUGGUUUCUAGGAUUGACGUAAUGAUUAAUAGGGAUAGUUGGGGGCAUUAGUAUUCAAUUGUCAGAGGUGAAAUUAUUGGAUUUAUUGAAGACUAACUACUGCGAAAGCAUUUGCCAAGGAUGUUUUCAUUAAUCAAGAACGAAAGUUAGGGGAUCGAAGACGAUCAGAUACCGUCGUAGUCUUAACCAUAAACUAUGCCGACUAGGGAUCGGAUGAUGUUAAUUUUUUAAUGACUCAUUCGGCGCCUUACA
rnacentral:misc_RNA from 1 species